GGCGAGGUUAAAAACUUUGGAUGC
rnacentral:siRNA from 1 species